UACGGAGGGGGCUAGCGUUGUUCGGAAUUACUGGGCGUAAAGCGCGCGUAGGCGGACCUGCAAGUCGGGGGUGAAAUCCCUCGGCUUAACCGAGGAACUGCGUCCGAUACUGAAAGGCUUGAAUCCGGGAGAGGGAUGUGGAAUUCCAGGUGUAGCGGUGAAAUGCGUAGAUAUCUGGAGGAACACCGGUGGCGAAGGCGGCAUCCUGGACCGGCAUUGACGCUGAGGCGCGAAAGCUAGGGGAGCAAACGGG
rnacentral:rRNA from 1 species